AGAAGGCUGGACUAAAAGCCACAGCAGCUGAAAAGGUAGAGCAGAUAACAGCACAAUUGAGCACAGCAUCAUCUGAAGCAGUUCCAUCAUCAGAAGCAUCUGAAAGGAUCAAAACUGGUUUCCUUUACUUCAAGAAAGAGAAAUAUGAGUUAGUCACUAUAUAUAUAUACCUUAAUAUAUGUCUUCAUAAAUUAGUUUCUUUUAGUUUAAGCUUUCUCAUUUCUUAUUAAUUCUUUUUCACAGCAAGAAUCCAGCUUUGUAUGGUGAACUUGCUAAAGGCCAGAGCCCCAAGGUAUUUAUUUUCUGAUGAUUUAUUUUUAGAAUAUAUGUACCCUUUUGCAUUCAAAAAUAUUUGUUGGACAAUUUUUUUAAUAACUUUUAGACACCUUUGAUUUUUAUAAUGCAAUUACUUUUCAUUGUAAAAAGUAAAAUAGUACAAAUGUUUAGAUAACAUUACUUUUUUGGAUAGUGGUAAAAACUUGGGUCAUACUUUAUGUUAUAUAAAAAACAAUUGUUACAAAAAUUGUCCAAAACAACUAUAAACAUUUUAUAAAAAAAAUAAACUUAUCUGAACUUUCUAGACUGGUAACUUUACCCUUUUGGAUAUAGAUGAAAAUUUCUAUUAAUGUUGAAGACUAACUUUGUCUUAUUUGAUUUUUCUUUUUUGGAGUUUAUGGUGUUUGCUUGUUCUGACUCAAGAGUAUGCCCAUCACAUGUGUUAGAUUUCCAACCAGGAGAGGCCUUUGUGGUCAGAAAUGUUGCUAACAUUGUCCCACCAUAUGACCAGGUCUCUUUCCAAUACACUUUUUGCUUUGUCCUAAUACAGUAAUAAUUCAAUACUCAAAUUAUUACUUUCUUUGUUUACCUCUUCACUCUAUCAGUCUAAAUAUGCUGGAGCUGGAGCUGCUAUUGAGUAUGCAGUUUUGCACCUUAAGGUACAUUAUCAAUCAUUAGAAGAUAAAUGAACUGCACAAAAUUUCAUGCAUAUUGUACUCUCCUCUAUUUUUAAUAUGAAUACAAUUUCAUUAUCAUCAUAUUAGAAUUUGACAACAUUAAGUUAUUUCUUUCUCUCACUUAUUCAUUAUACAACUCCACUUUCACUACAUCAUAAACUUAUAUUUUUAUUUCUAUUAUUAAAUAAUAUGCAUUUGUUGAAAUUUUUUAUGAAAAUAAUUGGAAGAAGACCAAAGACUAUAUAUAUAAUAAUAAUAACUGUUAAAGAUGACUUAUUCUUACAUAAUUUUCGGUUAUAACGGUUAAAAUUGUUUUUACUUUAAAUAGUAGUUUGAGUUGUAAAAUAAAUAUCAAAUUUUCCAUUAUAUAAAUUCUUUAUAUUUUGUAUUUGUGUAGCUUAGGUUGUAAAGUAAAUAAUAAAGUUUCAAUAUAUUUUCUUCACUUUCAAUUUCCUUCUUGCUGAAUUGCCAAUAAACUAAUAACCAUUAAACUAAUAAGUAAUAUUUCUGCAGGUGUCUGAAAUUGUGGUGAUUGGACACAGUGCUUGUGGUGGUAUUAAGGGGCUUCUCUCUUUCCCAUAUGAUGGAACCUACUCUACGUAUGUCAUUUUGUUUUACAUACAAAAUUACACUUUCCUAUCAAUUAUUUUAGGAUAUAUCCGCUGAAACUUCAGUGUUUGGUACAAAAACAUAAGAAAAUUACUUUCCUUUUUCUGGUCUGUGUUGUGCAGUGAUUUCAUUGAGGAAUGGGUCAAAAUUGGUUUACCUGCAAAGGCAAAAGUGAAAACAGCACAUGGGGAUGCACCAUUUGGAGAGCUAUGCACACACUGUGAGAAGGUAUAUAUAUGGGACAAAAAUAACACCACCUACAUUAACAUUAUACUAUAGUACUAUAGUACUAUACUAUAUGAAGAAGUAUACUAUAUAUAACCAUGUAUGUGAUGGUAACAAGUUGGAUUUUUAUUUGCAGGAAGCAGUGAAUGUUUCCCUUGGAAACCUGCUAACCUAC
rnacentral:lncRNA from 1 species